CAAGUCGAACGAUUAAGACUUCCUUCGGGAAGUGUAUAAAGUGGCGCACGGGUGAGUAACACGUAAGUAAUCUACCUUCGAGUGGGGAAUAACGUCCGGAAACGGACGCUAAUACCGCAUAACGCAGCGGCAUCGAAAGAUGACAGUUGUUAAAGGAGCAAUUCGCUUGAAGAGGAGCUUGCGGCAGAUUAGCUAGUUGGUAAGGUAAUGGCUUACCAAGGCUUCGAUCUGUAUCCGGUCUAAGAGGACGGUCGGACACACUGACACUGAAUAACGGGUCAGACUCCUACGGGAGGCAGCAGUCGGGAAUUUUGGGCAAUGGGCGAAAGCCUGACCCAGCAACGCCGCGUGAAGGAUGAAGUAUUUCGGUAUGUAAACUUCGAAAGAAUGGGAAGAACUCAAUGACGGUACCAUUUAUAAGCUCCGGCUAACUACGUGCCAGCAGCCGCGGUAAUACGUAGGGAGCAAGCGUUGUUCGGAUUUACUGGGCGUAAAGGGCGCGUAGGCGGCAUAUUAAGUCAUCUGUGAAAUCUCCGAGCUUAACUCGGAACUGUCAGCUGAUACUGAUGUGCUAGAGUGCGGAAGGGGCAAUCGGAAUUCUUGGUGUAGCGGUGAAAUGCGUAGAUAUCAAGAGGAACACCUGAGGUGAAGACGGGUUGCUGGGCCGACACUGACGCUGAGUGCGCGAAAGCCAGGGGAGCAAACGGGAUUAGAUACCCCGGUAGUCCUGGCCUUAAACGAUGAAUACUUGGUGUCUGGAGUCUCUAUAGCUCCGGGUGCCGUCGCUAACGUUUUUAGUAUUCCGCCUGGGGAGUACGCACGCAAGUGUGAAACUCAAAGGAAUUGACGGGGACCCGCACAAGCGGUGGA
rnacentral:rRNA from 1 species